rnacentral:rRNA from 1 species
GCUCAGGACGAACGCUGGCGGCGUGCCUAAUACAUGCAAGUAGAACGCUGAAGAGAGGAGCUUGCUCUUCUUGGAUGAGUUGCGAACGGGUGAGUAACGCGUAGGUAACCUGCCUGGUAGCGGGGGAUAACUAUUGGAAACGAUAGCUAAUACCGCAUAAAAUUGAUUAUUGCAUGAUAAUUAAUUGAAAGAUGCAAUUGCAUCACUACCAGAUGGACCUGCGUUGUAUUAGCUAGUUGGUGAGGUAACGGCUCACCAAGGCGACGAUACAUAGCCGACCUGAGAGGGUGAUCGGCCACACUGGGACUGAGACACGGCCCAGACUCCUACGGGAGGCAGCAGUAGGGAAUCUUCGGCAAUGGGGGGAACCCUGACCGAGCAACGCCGCGUGAGUGAAGAAGGUUUUCGGAUCGUAAAGCUCUGUUGUAAGAGAAGAACGGGUGUGAGAGUGGAAAGUUCACACUGUGACGGUAUCUUACCAGAAAGGGACGGCUAACUACGUGCCAGCAGCCGCGGUAAUACGUAGGUCCCGAGCGUUGUCCGGAUUUAUUGGGCGUAAAGCGAGCGCAGGCGGUUAGAUAAGUCUGAAGUUAAAGGCUGUGGCUUAACCAUAGUAUGCUUUGGAAACUGUUUAACUUGAGUGCAGAAGGGGAGAGUGGAAUUCCAUGUGUAGCGGUGAAAUGCGUAGAUAUAUGGAGGAACACCGGUGGCGAAAGCGGCUCUCUGGUCUGUAACUGACGCUGAGGCUCGAAAGCGUGGGGAACAAACAGGAUUAGAUACCCUGGUAGUCCACGCCGUAAACGAUGAGUGCUAGGUGUUAGGCCCUUUCCGGGGCUUAGUGCCGCAGCUAACGCAUUAAGCACUCCGCCUGGGGAGUACGACCGCAAGGUUGAAACUCAAAGGAAUUGACGGGGGCCCGCACAAGCGGUGGAGCAUGUGGUUUAAUUCGAAGCAACGCGAAGAACCUUACCAGGUCUUGACAUCCCUCUGACCGCUCUAGAGAUAGAGUUUUCCUUCGGGACAGAGGUGACAGGUGGUGCAUGGUUGUCGUCAGCUCGUGUCGUGAGAUGUUGGGUUAAGUCCCGCAACGAGCGCAACCCCUAUUGUUAGUUGCCAUCAUUCAGUUGGGCACUCUAGCGAGACUGCCGGUAAUAAACCGGAGGAAGGUGGGGAUGACGUCAAAUCAUCAUGCCCCUUAUGACCUGGGCUACACACGUGCUACAAUGGCUGGUACAACGAGUCGCAAGCCGGUGACGGCAAGCUAAUCUCUGAAAGCCAGUCUCAGUUCGGAUUGUAGGCUGCAACUCGCCUACAUGAAGUCGGAAUCGCUAGUAAUCGCGGAUCAGCACGCCGCGGUGAAUACGUUCCCGGGCCUUGUACACACCGCCCGUCACACCACGAGAGUUUGUAACACCCGAAGUCGGUGAGGUAACCGUAAGGAGCCAGCCGCCUAAGGUGGGAUAGAUGAU